rnacentral:rRNA from 1 species
AACGAACGCUGGCGGCAGGCCUAACACAUGCAAGUCGAGCGCCCUUUCGGGGGAGCGGCGGACGGGUGAGUAACGCGUGGGAAUAUGCCCUUCUCUACGGAAUAGCCUCGGGAAACUGAGAGUAAUACCGUAUACGCCCUGCGGGGGAAAGAUUUAUCGGGGAAGGAUUAGCCCGCGUUGGAUUAGGUAGUGGGUGGGGUAAUGGCCUAUCUAGGCGACGAUCCAUAGCUGGUUUGAGAGGAUGAUCAGCCACACUGGGACUGAGACACGGCCCAGACUCCUACGGGGGACAGCAGUGGGGAAUCUUAGACAAGGGGGGCAACCCUGAUCUAGCCAUGCCGUGUAAGUGAUGAAUGCCUUAGGGUUGUAAAGCUCUUUCAGCUGAGGAGAUAAUGACGGUACCAGCAGAAGAAGCCCCGGCUAACUACGUG